UCUUGCCAAUGUGUCGGUGUAAAUUUCUUUCGCCGUUGAAGUCGAUCGUGUCUGUUCGCCUUUUUCUGUCUCACUGUCAUACCCUAAUUGCAGUCUGUUUGUCUCCCUUUCUCACUUUUGUUCACUGUUCUAUUUAAGUGAGGAAUCAAAAACUCUCAGGUAAUGAAAAAAACUAAUCAGUUUAUGUACAUCCUCGAAAUCUUAUUACAAGGAGAAGAUCGAUGCUGCUUGGAGGGACAGGUUCAAAGGUGGGAUCAGAAGAAAAAUCAAAGUCCUGCCCAUGACCCUCAGAGAUCGGAUCUUUCUACGCUGUUGCUCCUCCUAGAGCAGAACACUCGCGUUUCACCGGUCUCUGUUAUAUCCUUCUCUUUUGUUAUUCUUCUCUAGAUUUCUAUUUUGUGUUUUGGUAGCGCUGAUGACACACUUAAGCUCUCGAUUGAUAACAACGUUUCUUGGAAUUUUGUGUAGACUUUGCAAUUCUUCAUACCGUUUUGUGAUCGAUCCUUCAUUGUUUUCUUUUUCCUUGGUAAAAUUAUCUGCUAGGUGAUGCUGAACCUACCCACUUGGUUAACGGUUGGAUUAUGCCCUACUAAACAAAGUAAGAAGGGAAAUUGACAAGAAACAUGAUGCUUAUUUGUUUCAGUCAAUUUACCAGUGAAAUAUUUUUUUGAUGCGUACUAAUAUUUUGAAUUUUCUCUACAGAUACUAUAGUAUGCUUUCAAUAAAAAAAACAGUGAAAUGGACCUAUUGAAGAAGAAACAUACAAAAUAGAUGUUGCAAAAAUAUUAGUGUGAUCUAGGAUGGCACAGAAAAUAAUGACAUGAUUCUUACGACUCAUUCUCCCGACCAUUGUAUCUUCAAUCACUUUGAUUUCAAUGUUUAUAUAAAGAAAGGCACUAAGAAAGAGAUGUCCAUGUGCAGGGACGAAGAGAACAACAAUAUAUAGAGGUGAUUGAUUCUGAAUUUACUUGUGGUCAAGGUUUUGGUUCUUUCGUUGGUAAUUGCCAUGAGCGUCCAGAACGGAAAUGACCUAUCCAGAUAUCACCUUUAGAGAGAGAAGCACAAUUUCUAAAUGAGUGGAAGGUGUAAGAGAUUAGAAAGAGGAUAUGAGAAAGAGGCGGAAUCACAACAGCCUAGGAUAUUUGUAUAAUGCUGAACGGGAUGCAGAGAUCGCUUGCUGAUUGAAAGUCUUAUUAAAGAACUUAUUUGCCAUCGAUAUUUCUAUUUGAUAAUUUGUGUACUAAUGCGGUUCUUAUAAAGUGUUCCAUAUACAUAGCUAUAGAUGUAACAAAGUAAUAAUGAAUAUUCUGUAUAUCAGGUUGGCUAUGCACUUACAACACCUAGAGAACACGAGGACAACGGUCAAUGAAAAGAUCAGCGACGAUCAUAUAUGGAGAGGCUCCGACGAAAUCUCCGACAGCAACCGGUACUUCGAACCCUUCAACGGUAAGAAAUUCUCACACGUGUGUACAGCUCCAGUGAAAUAUGAUCCAAACUGGAUCACAACAACAACAACAAACAAAACUUCAAACAACAUCGCUUACAUAGUCACCGGAGCUCAGCUAGAAGUUAAGAAACACGGCUCAAAAUCAGUUCUCCACCUCCGUCUCCGUUUCACCGGAGUCUCUGACCACAACGUCGUUCAAAAGGAAUGGGUCCAUGGACCAACGUAAAAUACUGAUUGAAAGGGUACGGUUGUUUUGUUUAUUUCUGAAUGAAUAUAACUUUUGUCUUUUUAGUAUCCUUUUCCUUACCAUGUUUCUGAAAAGAUCGAGUUAGACGCUGUAAACAGUUGAAUGUGAGAAAUAGUGUCGGAGGAGAAGAUAAGGAUGUUCAGGAACAUACACCUGGCUCUCAAAACUUCACGAUAGAGAGCUCGAAGACAAAGCCAAAGAAGUACCAGAGAUGAAAACAUAGAGGCGUAAGAAGAAACUUAAUACAGACGAGCUAAAGAGAAUCACGAGGCUGAAGCUAGCAGAGGCAGACAUGUUACAGCUUAAAGCUAACAAAGCAUAAUGGGAAGCUGAGAGAUUGUAAGGAUUGUUCUACGGAAACGGACAAGUACUAUGAGGAGGAAUGCGCAAGUAACUAUCUGAAACAGAGGGUGACCACGGUGAGGCAGAGAAACAGUAUAUGUUUGAGAAUAUUAAGAUGAAGGAAAAUUCAAGGAGCUCAUCACAAAGCAAAGAUGGUGGAGGAGGGUCACCUGUAUAUGUUUGAGAAUAUUAAGAGGGUCACCUGUAUAUGAUGUACUCAAAGUUCCGCAAUCUACUUCAUGGUAACAAUCUCUCGCCUAAGAUAGAUCUCUUAACCGGAGUGUAUGUAGCAAUGUGGAAUCUUUCUCCGGCCAAGAAGCUUUGCUUAGUUUGGAGAAUUAUGGUUUGGUUUAUAUGAUAUAUCAAGUUUUGGGUGGUGAGUUUUCACUUAAAGGUUUUUCUAAUAUAUAUAUAUAUAUAUAUAUAUUUGGUUUACCUGUUUUAGAAAACAAUAGUAUUUUGGUCAAUUUUUGGAUUCAAUUUAUUCAUGUGAAAAUACAUAUUUUCUAUGAUUGAUUACAAAUA